rnacentral:rRNA from 1 species
GCAGUAGGGAAUAUUGGGCAAUGGGCGAGAGCCUGACCCAGCCAUGCCGCGUGCAGGAAGAAGGCUUUCUGAGUCGUAAACUGCUUUUGACAGGGAAGAAUAAGCACUACGUGUAGUGCGAUGACGGUACCUGCAGAAUAAGCACCGGCUAACUCCGUGCCAGCAGCCGCGGUAAUACGGAGGGUGCGAGCGUUGUCCGGAUUUAUUGGGUUUAAAGGGUGCGUAGGCGGCCUUUUAAGUCCGGGGUGAAAGCCCGUUGCUCAACAACGGAACUGCCCUGGAUACUGGAAGGCUUGAGUACAGACGAGGUUGGCGGAAUGGACUGAGUAGCGGUGAAAUGCAUAGAUACAGUCCAGAACCCCGAUUGCGAAGGCAGCUGACUAGGCUGUUACUGACGCUGAGGCACGAAAGCGUGGGGAGCGAACAGGAUUAGA